rnacentral:rRNA from 1 species
GACAGUCGAACGAUAAGCCCUAGCGUGCGUGCGCUCAGCGAGCAGUAUGCGCGUGCGCAUCCUUCCUGCCCUUGUUUUCAGUAUAACUUCAUGAAAUCGAAUACCAUAUCGGAGAUUUGCUUCCCAUUUUUUGGGGCGGUUGGAAAGUGUUAGGAAAGUUGCGUAUGCGUCACACUAUCGUGUUGCGGUUGGGGCGCCGGCCAGGGGCUGCCACGACGGGUGGUCCUGUGGGGGAGAUCGCCCACGCUGCUGCUGAGCCAGGAUCAAACUCUCUCCUACGGGAGGCAGCAGUGGGGAAUAUUGCACAAUGGGCGAAAGCCUGAUGCAGCGACGCCGCGUGAGGGAUGAAGGCCUUCGGGUUGUAAACCUCUUUCAGCAGGGAAGAAGCGCAAGUGACGGUACCUGCAGAAGAAGCGCCGGCUAACUACGUGCCAGCAGCCGCGGUAAUACGUAGGGCGCAAGCGUUGUCCGGAAUUAUUGGGCGUAAAGAGCUCGUAGGCGGUUUGUCGCGUCUGGUGUGAAAACUCGAGGCUCAACUUCGAGCUUGCAUCGGGUACGGGCAGACUAGAGUGCGGUAGGGGAGACUGGAAUUCCUGGUGUAGCGGUGGAAUGCGCAGAUAUCAGGAGGAACACCGAUGGCGAAGGCAGGUCUCUGGGCCGCAACUGACGCUGAGGAGCGAAAGCAUGGGGAGCGAACAGGAUUAGAUACCCUGGUAGUCCAUGCCGUAAACGUUGGGCACUAGGUGUGGGGCUCAUUCCACGAGUUCCGUGCCGCAGCAAACGCAUUAAGUGCCCCGCCUGGGGAGUACGGGCCGCAGGCUAAAACUCAAAGGGAUUGACGGGGGCCCGCACAAGCGGCGGAGCAUGCGGAUUAUUCGAUGCAACGCGAAGACCCUUACCA